UGCAGGAGGCAUCCGAGGCUGUGCAGAGCGGCCGUCUGAACCUUGUGCCACAGGUGCACAGGAGGGCAUGGCAUAGCUGGCUGGACAACAUCACAGACUGGUGUGUCUCCUGGCAGCUCUGGUGGGGCCACAAUCCCAAUGUACCACAUCACUGCAGCAGACAGCCGGGAGGUGUGGGUGGCAGCUGCUCGGAGGAGGAUGCAAGGCAGAAGGCUGUGGAGAAGGAAGACACACCUUUGGCCUCCAUGUCCACCCAGCAGGAGGAAGAUCUGGACACCUGGUUCUCCUCUGGUCUCUCCCUUUGCCUCGCUGGGCUGGCCGGGUCAGGGGAGGGGAGAGACCAUGCCUGACCUUGCUCGCUUCUACGCAACGACCUUGAAGACGGGUCACGGCAUCCUCUUCUGGGUGGCUCAGGUGGUCAUGCUGGGACUCGACUUGAUGGGGAGGCUUUCCUUUGAGACUGUGUUGCUGCAUGGCCUCCUGUGUGAUGGUGGCGGCCACAAGAUGUCCAAGUCCUGGGGCAAAGUGAUAGACCCCCUGGAUGUCAUCAGUGGGACGUCCCUGGAGAUACUGUGCGAGAGGGUGGAGGGGAGCCUGAAUGCAGAGGGAUACUCACUUGUCUCGUAUGAACUCCCCCACAGGCAUCCCAGAGUGUGGAGCUGAUGCCCUUCGGUCCACCCUGUGCUCCACCAGCUUCAAGAGUCAUUGUGGCAUAGAUAGAUGUGGAUGACUGUGGUGCUUUGAGUCUUGUGUGGAGUUACAAGCUGUACACCCCAUCCUGCAGCCUCAAGGCACUCACCUCUCCUUUUCCAGUCAUGGGUGCCUUGUCUCCUUGCAACACCACCACCACUGCUGCCAUCACCUACGAGGGGGAGACACUGAUGUGGCUACAGGUGGAUAGGUUCGGAGGCCUCCAGAGAGCUGCCCAGAGUGAAGCUUGUGGUAUAGAGGGACAGCUGCUGAUCAUCAAGCUUAUGGAGUGACUGGAGGAAAGUGGGAGGAGCCUGGAGAGAGUCGUGGAGGCAGCAGAUGCAGCAGAUGCGGGGUGGUGAGGUAGUGUUUGUCCCGGGGGCAGACCACACAGGGAUAGCAACACAGGUGGUGGUGGAGAGGCACCUGUGGGACACCCAGGGGAAGACCAAACACAACCUUGACAGGCAGAAGUUUGUUGAUGAAGUGUGGAAGAGGAGAAAGGAACAAUGAUAUUCGACCAACUGCGGCAUCUGGGGGCUUUACUUGAAUGGGACAGCUGUGUGUACCAUGGAUGCAGUGAGAGACUGGCCUGUGUGUCUGUCUGUACAUCCUCACGGAAGCAUUUGUCCGUCUGUACAAUGCUGGGCUGGUGUACCGCAAGGAGGCUCUCGUCAACUAGUGCUCCAGCCUUCAGUCAGCCAUCUUGGACAUUGAAGUGGACCUCCUGCACCUGACAGGACCCACGGAGCUCGCAGUCCUGGGCUACGGCAAACCGGUCAGCUUCGGAAAGAUGUAUGACUUCGCUUACAGACCAGCAGACUCAGAGAUCUCCAUUCUUAGAGACUUCAAUGUUCACCACCAGCUUUGGCUUUCCUCUUUGGGGGUUGAACAUCCAAGUGAAACAAGUUCUCUCUCUCUCUCUCUCUCUCUCUCUCUCUCUCUCUCUCUCUCUCUCUCUCUAUGUUGAAGUCUUACUGUCUAAGUUAUUGAUGUAUUAUCUAUGUGUAAGAAUUGUGCAAGAACAAUGGGUCAUAAUGACAAGUAGAUAUAAACAAUGUAUAUUUUAUAAUAUAACAAAUCCUCUCUAUUUUGUUGAUUUUAAUCUUCUUUACCUAAAAUUUUGUUUUGAAAUACAUCAUAAGAUCUCAACAAAGAUGAGACUUGCAAGAGAUAUCUCCUUUUAAAAAAUUACAUUUUUCUUUUACCAAUCAAGUUCCCAACAUAGGAAGAAAACAAAGCAUUUAACUAAGGUACAUGCAGUUACAAUGCUUAAAUAGUGUUGUUUAAUGUAAAAAGGUGAUUAAAGAGUCCCCUGAGCUAAGUACCUAAGACCAUAUAAUUCUGCUAUGACUAAUUGGUGCUACCUUUCUUACUAAGAAAUUGAUGUAAUCCAGGAUUAUGCAAACCUUUCAGCCAUGAGCCAAGCAUACCUGCUGAGCUACUCAUACCCCAUACACAAAGAAAAUAUCAAAAAUAAUUGCUGAACUAGUGGGAGCCACAUGAAGUCUAAUAGUCACUUGACAGCACAAAUUCCUUGUGUACAUGUAUAAAAGAAAUAGAAGUAUGGGUGGGGAGAGGAAGAAAGACAACAUCCUGCAUUAAAGGAUUGUAAAAUUUCUGCAGAGAGAGAGAGAGAGAGAGAGAGAGAGAGAGAGAGUAGAGAGGAUUAAGAACAUACAAUAUCAAACAAAGGGUCAAGUCUUUAUUUUCAGUUUUUAGUCACAGAUUAAUAUGGAUUUCAUUCCAAAACAAUUUAUGAAAAAAAAAAAAAAAUCAAGAACCCAUCAUUUAUGAAGUACUUCUAGCAUUUUUCUUCUUGACUGCAGGUUAAUUUACAUGAAACUUCAAUCAGUUUAACAUUCAUUAAGUUUGAGGAUAUGUAUUUACAAAAAUAUUACCUGUAAAAAAUUUAAAAUACAUGUGGUAAACAUGAACUCAUCUUUAUUUUGCGUCAAAAUUACCUAUAUCACUGACAUUUGGCACAUAUUUCACUAUACUUGAAACAGUCAAAGUUUAUAUGAAAAUGAAAAAUUUAGAAAUUACAUUAUGUGAAAGCCAUAUUCACUUAACUCUAUAAAAAAGAACUCUGAAUCAGCAGAAAUGUGAAAAAUCACAUAAUCCUCAUAUCAUGAAUAAUAUGUGACCUUGUGAAUUCCUUACUACACCACGAUACAAGAACAAACAAAAAGACAGCAUCCAACAUGCAAUCACACACACACACAAAAAAAAAAAGAAAAAAAAAAUUAGUGGAGGUAUUAAAUAUCUGUGGGUUUGUACACCCACAUUUAAAGCUAUGAUUAAAGGCAUAAUUCUGAUAUGGACAUGCAUAUUUUUAUGUGAGGGAAGGAACACUGGUUGGGAAAGAGAUGUUCUGAAUAAGCAAAAUUAUCAUCCUCUAUAUAUAUGUAUAUAUAUAUAUAUAUAUAUAUAUAUAUAUAUAUAUAUAUAUAUAUAUAUAUAUAUAUAUAUAUAUAUAUAUAUAUAUAUAUAUGUUACAGUCAAUACCUGAAUCCAGACAAUUUGUAAAGUGACUUAUUUUUUCAGGCAAUUUGUGAACUGCCUGGUUAGGUUAGGUUAGGUUAGGUUAGGUUAGGCAGUUCACAAAUUGCCUGAAAAAAUAAGUCACUUUACAAAUUGUCUGGAUUCAGGUAUUGACUGUAACAUAUAUAUAUAUAUAUAUAUAUAUAUAUAUGAGGGAAGUAAUAAGAAUCAUGAAGAGUUUUAGCAUUAUUAGAAACAGUAAUCAAAUCUUUACAGUAUUUUUUCCUGUUACUUGUAUAAUCCCAACAACAUCAAUGUACUAUGAUAAUUUUUUUUUUAUGUAGACUUUUUUAUUUAUUUUUUCUAAACCACUGGUAUGUUGGCAGUCAACAAACUACAGUUUUGUCAAAUAGGACAGCUGUACUUAACAUCACUGUUAGUGUAGAUGAAAUCAAACUACAUGCUGUCACUCAUAUGCAACAAAAAAUUUGAUUCAGUCUACAUGGAAUGCUGGUUGACAACACCGCACGUGAGUUUGUAUUUGUUUAGUGGGGACAUACUACAAACACUUGAAUUUUCUUUGGGGAUGUACUUAUUGGUAAAAAUCAUAAAAUAAAGUAUAGUACAACUUUAAGCUAAAUCAUAACACUGGAAAUAUAAAGUCAAAUGUAAAAUGAUUUUAUAUGAAAAGAAACGAUCAAUGAAGUGAAAGUGAAUAAGAUGCCACCAAUUCAAGGCUAAUUGUUGACUGAAAAAAAAAAAAAAAAAAAAACUAAGCUCCAUUGAAUCAUGUGCAGUUAUGCCAGUACUUGUUAUCAAUUUGACAACACAUUCCACAGCAUGUUUAGUGUUUCCUACAUCUGCAGAGGAUGGUCAAAGUAGAUAAAAAUUAUGUUUCCAGAUUUUCUGGAAGUCCACACCAUUUAGGAGGAAGAAUAACAUUGAUAAUGGAAAGGAAAUCCUUCAUCAACAAAAAAGUAGGUAAGGAUAUUUAGUUAUUUUUGGCCAAUGAGAUGUUACUAACCUUUUUCAAGUUUACAGUACAAGACACUAAACAAUGUCCAGCAUCACUAUGAAGUCAAAUUUUCUACUGUUUUGGAUAUUUAAGGAAAAGGAUGUAUCAAAUGAUGCAUCUUUAUUGUUUUCCAGCUGAAUUUUUUAAAUUUAUUAUUCCUUCCAACUUUCCAUUCAUGGUUUUCCAUGGAGGAACCUUAAGUUGCUAUGAGAUCAAAUAUCUAAUUCCUUGAAAUUUGUGAGGCUAACUUAAUGAGUUAUUUCUUUUAAUUUCUUAGUCUGGAAAACUGUAACUGGUUAAUAAAGCAAACUGAGUUAUGAUGAUGAUGAUGAUGAUGAUGAUGAUGAUGAUGAUGAUGAUGAUGCCUGACAAAGAAUCAGGUAAUACACAUAACUCUUAAAAUAUUUCAAUUUUUCUUCUCACUAACAUUCCUGCAAACUUCAUCAUAAUCAACAUCUCAUUUUUUGUGAUUUUAAUAAACUUAAUCUGAUAAAAAUUUUAUAGAAUAUCAAUUAUACUAUUCCUUUCUCAACCAUGGCAGUCAUGUUCACAGUCAGUGUAUCACUGAUUGCUUAAAUUAACAUUAUAUGGAAAAAUUAGUCGGCAGAAUAUACAAGGGAUAAAAAAAAAAUGUGAUAUUUAUGUAACAUGAUGAUGUUUUCAUAAAUACAGUAACUUAUAUAAAGAUGACAGAGAGAGAGAGAGAGAGAGAGAGAGAGAGAGAGAGAGAGAGAGAGAGAGAGAGAGAGAGAGAGAGAGAGAGAGAAAUUUGUUAUUUUUGUUGAUUUUUUGCUGAAGACAGGGUAGGUCUUUACUUUUUUUUUUUUAUCACUUCCCAAAAAUUCACUCACAAACCUGAUCCCAUGUUUGGUACUACAGUGAUGUAACUGCUACUCAAAUUCCGUGGUUCAUGAGCUCAUGGUUGGGCAAGGAAUAGUGUAUAACAUUUAAUGCUAUAUCUUUUUGUGUCCCUGACAUUGGGUUGGGAUGUCUUUAUAAUUUUUAGUGGCUAGCAAUUAUAUGCAGGUGUCUUCAUUAAAAAAAAAAAAGUUAUACAAAAAAUCUCUUAGUCUCUUUAUGUUGUAAUAUUUCACCUGCCUUAACAAUUAUAGGGAAUAUGGUGGCACUAUUCCCAACAGCUGCAGUGCUUGACCAGGGCAUUCUCCUUACCAUAGCUUCAUAAAAAAUAAAAUACUGAUAUAUAAACGGUCUUGCCUCAUGUAUGUACAUUUGGUCCUGUUGGAGUUGAAGGCCAACAAUCCUGUGUGUGUGUGUGUGUGUUUACCUAGCUAUAGUAUACAAGACUCGGCUACACUCAUGAGGUCUCGUUUCUGUAUCUUUGUUCGUCCUCCCUUUUCCUCUGUUGAUGUACACUCAUAAUUGCUAUCAACUCAUCUUUUAAUAUAUUUUGAAUACCUAUACUUAUAUGAGGAAAACAAUACUUUUCUAUGUUACUCAUGCACUUUAUUUUUUAAUUUUCGUGUGUGUGUGUGUUUACCCAGUUGUGAUUUACAGGAAAGGAGCUAUGUUCAUAUUGGCCCACUGAUAUAAUUUUUUCUUAGCCAUGAAGAUUUCUUGCAUGGAUCACUCUCUCAUCUACAUUAUUCCAGGUUUCUGUACUCCUGUAGGGAAAGCUUAAUAUCUAUGUUACAGACAGUUCUCUUUAGUUUUCUUCCAUGUCCAUUUCAUUCUACAUACAUAAGUCUUCUCUACCUAGUUGUUUCAUUGCAUCACUGGUAUUAAAUAGUCUCCUCUCUUAUUUCUAAAGUCAGGAGCUGCAGCCAGGAUAAUAUCUCUUCAUAUGAUAGGUCUCUCAAAUUUUGGUUGCUCCUUUCUGUACUCAUCUUAUUCACAUGUUCAUUGACUAUUCCUACAUAAUAAUACUUUUUUCUACAUCAGAUCCUCAGUUAAUCUUUUUUGAUAAAUCUGACAAAUUACCUUCUCAGUGUCCCUUCACCCUCUGCCAAAAUUAUUCAGAUUCAUUUUUAUCCAGUUUAAUAUCUUCAUUGGUAUUACAGAUGGAAUGGCCAGGAUAACAUAACCCCCAUCUGAUUUUUGUAUAUGAUGUAAGUAUUGGCUUCCAGUUUGCAGUGGUCCCAGCCUACCAGGUAAUGUAAACAUGUCCAUUCUGUGGUGGCACACAUGUGUAUUUACCUAGUUGUAUUUACCUAGUUGUAUAGUACAGGGUCCGAGCCAAAGCUCAAUUAGUCCUGUCUCCAUACCCGAAUUUGUCCAAUUUCUCUUUAAACAUGUGCACACUCUUUGCCGCAACCACAUCUUCUUUUAAGUUAUUCCAUAUUUCAACCGUUCAAUGCGGAAAGCUGUAUUUCUUAAUAUCUCCCAAACAAUGACUCUUCUUUAAUUUCUUCAUAUGUCCCCUUGUACGUCUAUCUCCUUCCUCCACUUUUACAACUAGGUCAUUUCUGUCUAUCUUCUCCAUGCCAUUUACUAAUUUGAACAUUGUUAUCAGGUCUCCUCUUUCCCUUCUUUCUUGCAGUGUUGGUAAUCCAAUUUCUUCCAGUCUUUCCUCAUAACUUAGGUCUUCCAAUUCAGGUAUCAUUUUCGUAGCUGUUCUUUGUAUUCUUUCCAAUUUCCUUAUAUCUUUCUUCUUGUGUGGAGACCAUACCACUGCUGCGUAUUCCAGUUUGGGGCGUAUCGUGUGUUAUGAUUUUCUUCAUCAUUUCUUUGUCUAGGUAAUUAAAUGCCACCCUGAUAUUUGCUAGCAAAUUAUAUGUAGAGCCAAAUAUUCCAUUGAUGUGUUUUUCUGGUCAUAGCGUGUCUUGAAUUAUUACUCCCAAGUCUUUUUCUUCUUUGCUCUUUUGUAUUGUGAUUCCUCCCAUCUUAUACUCCCAUGAAGGUCUCCUUUUACUUCUUCCCAUCUCCAUUACAUGGCACUUUUUUAUAUUGAAUUCUAAUUUCCAUCGUUUACUCCAUUCAUAAAUUCUAUCAAUAUCCCUCUGUAGUUCCUCACAAUCCUCUUGGUUCUUUAUUACUUUCAUCAAUUUUGUAUCAUCUGCAAACAUGUUAAUGUAGCUAUUUAAACCCACAGUCAUAUCAUUUAUAUAGACCUGAAACAUUAUAGGUGCCAACACAGACCCUUGUGGUACUCUGCUUGUUACUUCACACCAACCAUCUCUGAUUACUGUGCUCAUUUCCCUACCUUGGAGAUAAUCCUUCAUCCACUUAAGUAUUUUUCCUUUUAGCCCUCCUCGAUGUUCCAGUUUCCAUACGAGACUUUUAUGUGGAACUGUAUCAAAAGCUUUUUUCAGAUCUAAAUAGACUGCAUCAACCCAACCAUCUCUCUCUUGUAGUUUAUCUAUUACUCUUGUGUGUGUGUGUGUGUGUGUGUGUGUGUGUGUGUGUGUGUGUGUGUGUGUGGUGUCUUGCUAAUUUACAUUAAUAAGACUGCUUGGUCUGUUUAUCUGUUUGUCUGUUCCACUUUGUUCACAGCAACAAAGCCAAAUUCUGGGACAAAACUAACACCAUUUUGAUGUAUAAUGGUUUGCAAUCCCUGCUGAAAUGUAGAUUUUAAAAAUUCCAGCUCUAUCAAAAGUUAUCAGCAAAAUAUCAUACUACAAAAACAGUGGCUCAGGCUUUGAUAUUUUCUCCCUAGACUGUCUCCCUCUUGCUCUAGGGACUAAAUUUUCUGUGAGCCAUACCAAAGUUCCAGUCUGUUUUGUUCCAAAAAUGGCCUAUUACAGCACCUUACAAGUCAUGAUCACGACAAUUGUCAGGAUACAAGAUCAAGUUUUAGACCUGCACCUAAGGUCACUACAUAGUUUCAUCACUCCAUUUUAGAAGUAAUAAUAAUAAUAAUAAUAAUAAUAAUAAUAAUGAUAAUAAUAAUAAUAAUAAUAAUAAUAAUAAUAAUAAUAAUAAUAACAACAACAAUGUAAUGGCCCCCUUGGAGAUUUACCUGAAGACAACAUAAAUGUUUAACUUUGAGAGGAAGUGGCCAUGGACAGAGCCCCUGACCAAAACAAUAAGUACAGCACCUUGGAUGUCAGGACCAUGGCAAUCAUCAGUCCCCAAGAUCAAUUUUGAGGUCUUUGUGUUCCUGGUCACUUCAUGGUCCUCACAAAUAGCAAGAAAACUUUCAGUUCAUAAAGGAGAGAAAAAAAAAAAAAUCCAGAAUUCACACUCAUCAUCAAUGGACCAUGCACCAUUUAAAAUACUGAAUGGUGGUGGCACAGUAAUCCAGUGUUUGUGCUCCUCCUUAAUUUGAAUAUGUAUGCAAUUGUCAUCAUUUAUAACUACACAAGCACUUCUCCCAAAAUUGGUGCUACAAUCUUUGCCAGCAAUAAAUAUUCUUUGUGUAAUUGUAUUUUAAAGAUUGUUACAAGAAACUGUUCAUAUUCACAAGUCAGGUUUGCAUGGUUUCAGGUAAAAUAUUUAAUAAAAUAGUAUUCAAUUAAGAGAAACUAAAACAUUUGGCAUAUAAAAAUCUCCACUGAUCAGCUGUAAGCUAACAUAAUGCUUUCCAGUCUUGCUCAACAGAGUAGCAUUUACUUAUUUGUGAUUUUAAUAUAUCUAAUACUAGUGACUAACAUAAAAUUCUCAUCACUGAUGCUAACCGACAUGUACGAAUAGAUCUUUCUUCCUCCUGCAUUCCUUACACUGUGAGGAUAUAUGAAAAUGAAUUGAUGGCGGAAAUCCUAUAAAUAUAUAACCAUAUAAAAUAUUGCACUUGGUAUGUGGGGCCUAUUAUACUGAUACAGUGAUAAUAACUAGGCUUUAUAUAAUAGUUGUUUUUCUUCUUUAUGUUAUACUAUGACUGGUUUGAUUACUUUAGAUACACACAAUCACUCAUUAAUACUCUAGUUUAUAUCAUUGUACUUCUACAUCUUCUGAACUCCAGUAGAUAUGCCUUUCUAAUUUCCAUGUUAAUCUUGUGAUUCUUUCCUGGCUUCAGCAACCUUACCAUCACCUGGAAGCUUUGCUGAUCGGACUCCUCCAUCUGCAACUGGAUCUUUGGUCUUUAUGAAGCGCAUUUUCGUGUAAUCAUCAAUCAUUGCCGUUGCUCUGCUCUUCUUCAGUUUAUCUUCUGCCUAAGAGUGUAAUUUCAAACAGACAUUAAUAUUACUGUCUACUCUUCAGAGUAUAUUACUCAAUAAAGAAAUGCUUAAACAUUGGGAAACAAUUGGGUCAAACUCAAAGCACAAUAUAAAAUAACCCUUACACAAGGUGUUGAGUUGAUAUGAAAGUAACCUAUCCAUUACCAGUUUCAACCUUUUCUCUUUCCUAAAUUUCCUCAAAGGUUGAUGAUGACAUAAUGCUUUGCAAAAAAAGUCAAGAUUACUUUUAUCUAGGUUUCUACUCUACCUUGAGACAGAUAUAUGGAUGUGGAAGUCAAAUAUUUUUUGGAAUAUCAUGAAAAAUUAGCUCCUGCCUAUGUAAAACAAGCAAUUUCCCUACAGUAUAGCAUGUCUCUAAGCUUAUCUAUCUAUGACUCACCAACAUUUGUAUUAUGUUAAAUACCUGAAUAUAUUCUAAAACAAAAAUUAUCAUAAAUAUUGAUUUCCUUAGGAGAUAUAUACAUGAGAUGCUCCCCAAUUUAUGAACAUUUGAGUUACAAGCUUUCACAGAUACGAACAAGAAGCCUGGUUCAAGAGCAGUCCUGAGCCACCUGUAUGUCAAUAUCAAGAUCACACUGGUGCACUGAGGCAGCCAAAUGUGAUGGCAAAAUAAAAAUCUUCAUCUUUA